rnacentral:rRNA from 1 species
GAUGAACGCUGGCGGCGUGCUUAACACAUGCAAGUCGAACGGGAUCCAUCAAGCUUGCUUGGUGGUGAGAGUGGCGAACGGGUGAGUAAUGCGUGACCGACCUGCCCCAUACACCGGAAUAGCUCCUGGAAACGGGUGGUAAUGCCGGAUGCUCCAGUUGAUCGCAUGGUCUUCUGGGAAAGCUUUCGCGGUAUGGGAUGGGGUCGCGUCCUAUCAGCUUGACGGCGGGGUAACGGCCCACCGUGGCUUCGACGGGUAGCCGGCCUGAGAGGGCGACCGGCCACAUUGGGACUGAGAUACGGCCCAGACUCCUACGGGAGGCAGCAGUGGGGAAUAUUGCACAAUGGGCGCAAGCCUGAUGCAGCGACGCCGCGUGAGGGAUGGAGGCCUUCGGGUUGUAAACCUCUUUUAUCGGGGAGCAAGCGAGAGUGAGUUUACCCGUUGAAUAAGCACC